CCUACGGGAGGCAGCAGUAGGGCAUAUUGCUCAAUGGGGGAAACCCUGAAGCAGCAACGCCGCGUGGAGGAUGAAGGUCUUCGGAUUGUAAACUCCUUUUGUUAGAGAAGAUAAUGACGGUAUCUAACGAAUAAGCACCGGCUAACUCCGUGCCAGCAGCCGCGGUAAUACGGAGGGUGCAAGCGUUACUCGGACUCACUGGGCGUAAGGAGCGCGUAGGCGGGAUAGCAAGUCAGAUGUGAAAUCCUAUGGCUUAACCAUAGAACUGCAUUUGAAACUGUUAGUCUAGAGUAUGGGAGAGGUAGGUGGAAUUCUUGGUGUAGGGGUAAAAUCCGUAGAGAUCAAGAGGAAUACUCAUUGCGAAGGCGACCUGCUAGAACAUAACUGACGCUGAUGCGCGAAAGCGUGGGGAGCAAACAGGAUUAGAUACCCCAGUAGUC
rnacentral:rRNA from 1 species